rnacentral:rRNA from 1 species
GUGCUCUGUGAUACUUUCACACUGCGUGCGCGUAACAAACCCCUAAACAUGAAUAACCUAGUCAAGAAUCCAUAAGAAUAAAACUUUCAACAACGGAUCUCUUGGUUCUCGCAUCGAUGAAGAGCGCAGCGAAAUGCGAUACCUAGUGUGAAUUGCAGCCAUCGUGAAUCAUCGAGUUCUUGAACGCACAUUGCGCCCCCUGGUAUUCCGGGGGGCAUGCCUGUUUGAGCGUCGUUUCUAUCUCACGCAAGUGGAGCUGGCCCGGCCUUGGCCCCGCCGAAAAGAAACGAGGGCGAAGCGAACUAUGUUGUGCGCCGACCCCAGCUACCAAGCUCGACCUCAAAUCAGGUAGGAAUACCCGCUGAACUUAAGCAUAUCAAUAAGCGGAGGAAAAGGAUCAUUACUGUGAUAU